rnacentral:tRNA from 1 species
GCCCAGGUAGUUUAGUGGCUAGAAUAUGGCCCUGUCGCGGCCAAGAUCCGGGUUCGAUUCCCGGUCUGGGCG